GUGUCAGCCGCCGCGGUAACACGUAGGGGGCAAGCGUUGUCCGGAUUUAUUGGGCGUAAAGAGCUCGUAGGUGGUUCGGUAAGUCAGGUGUGAAACCUCCAGGCUCAACCUGGAGACGCCACUUGAUACUGCUGUGACUGGAGUCCGGUAGGGGAGCGUGGAAUUCCUGGUGUAGCGGUGAAAUGCGCAGAUAUCAGGAGGAACACCAGCGGCGAAGGCGGCGCUCUGGGCCGGUACUGACACUGAGGAGCGAAAGCGUGGGUAGCAAACAGGAUUAGAAACCCCCGUAGUCC
rnacentral:rRNA from 1 species